rnacentral:rRNA from 1 species
AUUGAACGCUGGCGGCGUGCUUAACACAUGCAAGUCGAACGAAGACGUUUGAGUGCUUGCACUUGGAUGGACUGAGUGGCGGACGGGUGAGUAACGCGUGGGUAACCUGCCUUAUACAGGGGGAUAACAGUUGGAAACGACUGCUAAUACCGCAUAAGCGCACAGUAUCGCAUGAUACAGUGUGGCAAACUCCGGUGGUAUAAGAUGGACCCGCGUCUGAUUAGCUAGUUGGUGAGGUAACGGCCCACCAAGGCGACGAUCAGUAGCCGGCCUGAGAGGGUGAACGGCCACAUUGGUACUGAGACACGGCCCAAACUCCUACGGGAGGCAGCAGUGGGGAGUAUUGCACAAUGGGGGAAACCCUGAUGCAGCGACGCCGCGUGAGUGAGGAAGUAUUUCGGUAUGUAAAACUCUAUCAGCAGGGAAGAUAAUGACGGUACCUGACUAAGAAGCACCGGCUAAAUACGUGCCAGCAGCCGCAGUAAUAC